rnacentral:rRNA from 1 species
GGACUACAGGGGUAUCUAAUCCUGUUUGCUACCCACGCUUUCGUGUCUCAGCGUCAACAAUGGUCCAGAAAGCCGUCUACACCACAGGUGUUCCUCCUGAUAUCUACGCAUUUCACCGCUACACCAGGAAUUCCGCUUUCCUCUCCCACGUUCGAGCACCCCAGUUUCCGGCGCACCCUCCCAGUUGAGCCGGGAGAUUUCACACCGAACUUAAGGCACCGCCUACACACUCUUUACGCCCAGUAAUUCCGAACAACGCUCGCUGCCUACGUAUUACCGCGGCUGCUGGCAC